UAUCCGUAGGUGAACCUGCGGAAGGAUCAUUACAGAGUUCAUGCCCUCACGGGUAGAUCUCCCACCCACUGUUGUCGUUACUGUGUUGCUUUGGCGGGCCGCCGGGCCCCGCUCGGCCGCCGGCUCCGGCUGGCGCGCGCCCGCCAGAGGCCCAGCAAAUUCUGAAUGUUAGUGUCGUCUGAGUACUAUAUAAUAGUUAAAACUUUCAACAACGGAUCUCUUGGUUCUG
rnacentral:misc_RNA from 1 species